rnacentral:rRNA from 1 species
UACGGGUGAGGCAAGCGUUGUUCGGAAUCAUUGGGCUUAAAGCGCGUGUAGGCGGCGGCGUAAGUACUUUGUGAAAUCCCUUCUCUCAAUGGAGGAAUUGCUUGGUAUACUGCGUUGCUUGAGGUAGGUAGGGGUGCUUGGAACUCUAGGUGGAGCGGUGAAAUGCGUAGAUAUCUAGAGGAACGCCAGUGGCGAAAGCGGAGCACUGGGCCUAUCCUGACGCUGAGACGCGAAAGCGUGGGUAGCAAACGGGAUUAGAUACCCCGGUAGUCCACGCCGUAAACGAUGCGCACUAGGUAUGCCUGACUCUGACGUCCGGCGAGCCGAAACAAAAGCGUUAAGUGCGCCGCCUGGGGAGUACGGCCGCAAGGCUAAA